rnacentral:rRNA from 1 species
ACAGCAGUCGCCGCGGUAAUACGAAGGGGGCUAGCGUUGUUCGGAUUUACUGGGCGUAAAGCGCACGUAGGCGGAUCGAUCAGUCAGGGGUGAAAUCCCAGAGCUCAACUCUGGAACUGCCUUUGAUACUGUCGAUCUGGAGUAUGGAAGAGGUGAGUGGAAUUCCGAGUGUAGAGGUGAAAUUCGUAGAUAUUCGGAGGAACACCAGUGGCGAAGGCGGCUCACUGGUCCAUUACUGACGCUGAGGUGCGAAAGCGUGGGGAGCAAACAGGAUUAGAUACCCCUGUAGUCCCUGUCUCUUAUAC